UAGGGAAUCUUCCACAAUGGGCGAAAGCCUGAUGGAGCAAUGCCGCGUGAGUGAAGAAGGAUUUCGGUUCGUAAAACUCUGUUGUAAGGGAAGAACAAGUAGCGUAGUAACUGGCGUUACCUUGACGGUACCUUAUUAGAAAGCCACGGCUAACUACGUGCCAGCAGCCGCGGUAAUACGUAGGUGGCAAGCGUUGUCCGGAAUUAUUGGGCGUAAAGCGCGCGCAGGUGGUUCUUUAAGUCUGAUGUGAAAGCCCACGGCUCAACCGUGGAGGGUCAUUGGAAACUGGGGAACUUGAGUGCAGAAGAGGAUAGUGGAAUUCCAAGUGUAGCGGUGAAAUGCGUAGAGAUUUGGAGGAACACCAGUGGCGAAGGCGACUAUCUGGUCUGUAACUGACACUGAGGCGCGAAAGCGUGGGGAGCAAACA
rnacentral:rRNA from 1 species